UACGUAGGUGGCAAGCGUUGUCCGGAAUUAUUGGGCGUAAAGCGCGCGCAGGCGGUCCCUUAAGUCUGAGGUGAAAGCCCACGGCUCAACCGUGGAGGGUCAUUGGAAACUGGGGGACUUGGGUGCAGAAGAGGAAAGUGGAAUUCCACGUGUAGCGGUGAAAUGCGUAGAGAUGUGGAGGAAAACGAGUGGCGAAGGCGACUCUCUGGUCUGUAACUGACGCUGAGGAGCGAAAGCGUGGGGAGCAACCAGG
rnacentral:misc_RNA from 1 species